rnacentral:rRNA from 1 species
UUCCUACGGGUGGCAGCAGUGGGGAAUCUUGCGCAAUGGGCGAAAGCCUGACGCAGCGACGCCGCGUGUGGGAUGAAGGCCUUCGGGUCGUAAACCACUGUCGGGAGGGACGAAAUCAAUGACGGUACCUCCAAAGGAAGCACCGGCUAACUCUGUGCCAGCAGCCGCGGUAAUACAGAGGGUGCGAGCGUUGUCCGGAAUCACUGGGCGUAAAGGGCGCGUAGGCGGCCUGAUAAGUAGGGGGUGAAAUCCUGCGGCUCAACCGCAGGGCUGCCUUCUAGACUGUCAGGCUCGAGCACAGUAGAGGCAGGUGGAAUUCCCGGUGUAGCGGUGGAAUGCGUAGAGAUCGGGAAGAACAUCGGUGGCGAAGGCGUCCUGCUGGGCUGUUGCUGACGCUGAGGCGCGACAGCGUGGGGAGCAAACAGGAUUAGAUACCCCGGUAGUC